rnacentral:tRNA from 1 species
UCCCUGGUGGCUCAGAUGGUAAAGAAUCUGCCUGCAAUGCAGGAGACCCAGGUUUGAUCCCUGGGUUGAGAA